CUUAGCAGAGAUGCUUUGGUGCCUUCGGGAACUCUGAGACAGGUGCUGCAUGGCUGUCGUCAGCUCGUGUUGUGAAAUGUUGGGUUAAGUCCCGCAACGAGCGCAACCCUUAUCCUUUGUUGCCAGCGGCUCGGCCGGGAACUCAAAGGAGACUGCCGGUGAUAAACCGGAGGAAGGUGGGGAUGACGUCAAGUCAUCAUGGCCCUUACGGCCAGGGCUACACACGUGCUACAAUGGCGCAUACAAAGAGAAGCGACCUCGCGAGAGCAAGCGGACCUCAUAAAGUGCGUCGUAGUCCGGAUUGGAGUCUGCAACUCGACUCCAUGAAGUCGGAAUCGCUAGUAAUCGUAGAUCAGAAUGCUACGGUGAAUACGUUCCCGGGCCUUGUACACACCGCCCGUCACACCAUGGGAGUGGGUUGCAAAAGAAGUAGGUAGCUUAACCUUCGGGAGGGCGCUUACCACUUUGUGAUUCAUGACUGGGGUGAAGUCGUAACAAGGUAAGCGUAGUGCU
rnacentral:rRNA from 1 species